UACGUAGGGGGCAAGCGUUGUCCGGAUUUAUUGGGCGUAAAGAGCGUGUAGGCGGCCAGACAGGUCCGUUGUGAAAACUCGAGGCUCAACCUCGAGAUCGUCGAUGGAAACCGUCUGGCUAGAGUCCGGAAGAGGAGUGUGGAAUUCCUGGUGUAGCGGUGAAAUGCGCAGAUAUCAAGGAAGAACACCUAUGGCGAAGGCAGCACUCUGGGACGGUACUGACGCUGAGACGCGAAAGCGUGGGGAGCGAACAGG
rnacentral:rRNA from 1 species